rnacentral:rRNA from 1 species
CAGGACGAACGCUGGCGGCGUGCCUAACACAUGCAAGUCGAGCGGGGACGAUACGACGGAUCGGAAGUUUUCGGAUGGAAGUGAAGAUGUAUGUUCUAGCGGCGGACGGGUGAGUAACGCGUGAGCAACCUGUCCUUCACAGGGGGAUAACACAGCGAAAGUUGUACUAAUACCGCAUAAGACCACGAUGAGGCAUCUUAUUGAGGUCAAAGGAGUAAUCCGGUGAAGGGUGGGCUCGCGUCCGAUUAGAUAGUUGGUGAGGUAACGGCCCACCAAGUCAACGAUCGGUAGCCGACCUGAGAGGGUGAUCGGCCACAUUGGGACUGAGACACGGCCCAAACUCCUACGGGAGGCAGCAGUGGGGAAUAUUGGGCAAUGGGGGAACCCUGACCCAGCAACGCCGCGUGAGGGAAGAAGGUUUUCUGAUCGUAAACCUCUGUCCUUGGUGAAGAGGAAGAGACGGUAGCCAAGGAGGAAGCCCCGGCUAACUACGUGCC